CCUACGGGAGGCAGCAGUGGGGAAUAUUGGACAAUGGGGGCAACCCUGAUCCAGCAAUGCCGCGUGAGUGAUGAAGGCCUUAGGGUUGUAAAGCUCUUUCGCCAGGGAAGAUGAUGACUGUACCUGGAGAAUAAGCCCCGGCUAACUUCGUGCCAGCAGCCGCGGUAAUACGAAGGGGGCUAGCGUUGUUCGGAAUUACUGGGCGUAAAGGGCGCGUAGGCGGCCGAUUAAGUUAGGUGUGAAAGUCCUGGGCUCAACCUGGGGACUGCACUUAAUACUGAUUGGCUUGAAUUCGGGAGAGGAUAGCGGAAUUCCCAGUGUAGAGGUGAAAUUCGUAGAUAUUGGGAAGAACACCGGUGGCGAAGGCGGCUAUCUGGACCGACAUUGACGCUGAGGCGCGAAAGCGUGGGGAGCAAACAGGAUUAGAUACCCUGGUAGUC
rnacentral:rRNA from 1 species